rnacentral:rRNA from 2 species
GUCGAGCGGUACAUAUAGCUUGUUGCUCCUUAGGGGGCGAGAGGGGCGCGUGAGGCCUGUGCUUGGGCCCGUGUCUUGGGGUGGGGGACCACAUGUGGACACUAGUGCUAAUACCGUACAAUGUCUACAGACCAGGGGGCUUCUCGGCUCGCGCCUUUAGAUGGGCCCAUGUGGGAUUAUCUAGUUGGUGAGGUAAUGGCUCACAAGGCGACGAUCCCUAUCUGGUUUGAGAGGAUAUCACCCACACUGGCACUGAACACGGCCCAGACUCCUACGGGAGGCGCAGUGGGGAAUAUUGCACAAUGGGCGCAAGCCUGAUGCACCCAUGCCGCGUGUGUGAAGAAGGUCUUCGGAUUGUAAAGCACUUUCACUCGAGAGGAAGGGUUGUUAAUUAAUACGUUAUAUCUGUGACGUUACUGACAGAAUAAGCACCGGCUAACUCUGUGCCAGCACCCGCGGUAAUACAGAGGGUGCG